AUGUGCCAAUUACACGCCGGUCCCAGCGCGCCGUUUAGGCCGCCUGACGAGUACUCGCUAGCUUUUUGUCAGUC
rnacentral:sRNA from 1 species